UUAAGCGACUAAGCGUACACGGUGGAUGCCCUGGCAGUCAGAGGCGAUGAAGGGCGUGCUAAUCUGCGAUAAGCGCCGGUAAGGUGAUAUGAACCGUUAUAACCGGCGAUACCCGAAUGGGGAAACCCAGUGUGACUCGUCACACUAUCAUUAACUGAAUCCAUAGGUUAAUGAGGCGAACCGGGGGAACUGAAACAUCUAAGUACCCCGAGGAAAAGAAAUCAACCGAGAUUCCCCCAGUAGCGGCGAGCGAACGGGGAGGAGCCCAGAGCCUGAAUCAGCAUGUGUGUUAGUGGAAGCGUCUGGAAAGGCGCGCGAUACAGGGUGACAGCCCCGUACACAAAAGCGCAUGUGCUGUGAGCUCGAUGAGUAGGGCGGGACACGUGGUAUCCUGUCUGAAUAUGGGGGGACCAUCCUCCAAGGCUAAAUACUCCUGACUGACCGAUAGUGAACCAGUACCGUGAGGGAAAGGCGAAAAGAACCCCGGCGAGGGGAGUGAAAAAGAACCUGAAACCGUGUACGUACAAGCAGUGGGAGCCCCACCACCAAAGCAUUCUCUGGUGUUGAAGGCCCUGCAAAGCAGCAUCGCGGUGGCGGAGCGUCGUUUGCGACGCCCAACGCACAAAACAAGCGGUGAGUGCUUUGGGGUGGGGUGACUGCGUACCUUUUGUAUAAUGGGUCAGCGACUUAUAUUCUGUAGCAAGGUUAACCGAAUAGGGGAGCCGGAGGGAAACCGAGUCUUAAUUGGGCGUUAAGUUGCAGGGUAUAGACCCGAAACCCGGUGAUCUAGCCAUGGGCAGGUUGAAGGUUGGGUAACACUAACUGGAGGACCGAACCGACUAAUGUUGAAAAAUUAGCGGAUGACCUGUGGCUGGGGGUGAAAGGCCAAUCAAACCGGGAGAUAGCUGGUUCUCCCCGAAAGCUAUUUAGGUAGCGCCUCGUGAAUUCAUCUCCGGGGGUAGAGCACUGUUUCGGCUAGGGGGCCAUCCCGGCUUACCAACCCGAUGCAAACUGCGAAUACCGGAGAAUGUUAUCACGGGAGACACACGGCGGGUGCUAACGUCCGUCGUGAAGAGGGAAACAACCCAGACCGCCAGCUAAGGUCCCAAAGUCAUGGUUAAGUGGGAAACGAUGUGGGAAGGCCCAGACAGCCAGGAUGUUGGCUUAGAAGCAGCCAUCAUUUAAAGAAAGCGUAAUAGCUCACUGGUCGAGUCGGCCUGCGCGGAAGAUGUAACGGGGCUAAACCAUGCACCGAAGCUGCGGCAGCGAACGUAUCACCCAAGACAACUUUACGGAGUUGACGAUUGACGGAGCGAAGCGACGUCAAAGCGUUCAUUAAAGUCGAGUUGGCUUAGGGAUACGUUCGUUGGGUAGGGGAGCGUUCUGUAAGCCUGCGAAGGUGGCCUGUGAGGGUUGCUGGAGGUAUCAGAAGUGCGAAUGCUGACAUAAGUAACGAUAAAGCGGGUGAAAAGCCCGCUCGCCGGAAGACCAAGGGUUCCUGUCCAACGUUAAUCGGGGCAGGGUGAGUCGACCCCUAAGGCGAGGCCGAAAGGCGUAGUCGAUGGGAAACGGGUUAAUAUUCCCGUACUUGGUGUUACUGCGAAGGGGGGACGGAGAAGGCUAUGUUGGCCGGGCGACGGUUGUCCCGGUUUAAGCGUGUAGGUGUGUGUUCCAGGUAAAUCCGGUUCACUUUAACACUGAGGCGUGAUGACGAGGCACUACGGUGCUGAAGCAACAAAUGCCCUGCUUCCAGGAAAAGCCUCUAAGCAUCAGGUAACAUCAAAUCGUACCCCAAACCGACACAGGUGGUCAGGUAGAGAAUACCAAGGCGCUUGAGAGAACUCGGGUGAAGGAACUAGGCAAAAUGGUGCCGUAACUUCGGGAGAAGGCACGCUGACACGUAGGUGAAGUGAUUUACUCAUGGAGCUGAAGUCAGUCGAAGAUACCAGCUGGCUGCAACUGUUUAUUAAAAACACAGCACUGUGCAAACACGAAAGUGGACGUAUACGGUGUGACGCCUGCCCGGUGCCGGAAGGUUAAUUGAUGGGGUCAGCGCAAGCGAAGCUCCUGAUCGAAGCCCCGGUAAACGGCGGCCGUAACUAUAACGGUCCUAAGGUAGCGAAAUUCCUUGUCGGGUAAGUUCCGACCUGCACGAAUGGCGUAAUGAUGGCCAGGCUGUCUCCACCCGAGACUCAGUGAAAUUGAACUCGCUGUGAAGAUGCAGUGUACCCGCGGCAAGACGGAAAGACCCCGUGAACCUUUACUAUAGCUUGACACUGAACAUUGAGCCUUGAUGUGUAGGAUAGGUGGGAGGCUUUGAAGUGUGGACGCCAGUCUGCAUGGAGCCGACCUUGAAAUACCACCCUUUAAUGUUUGAUGUUCUAACGUGGACCCGUUACCCGGGUUGCGGACAGUGUCUGGUGGGUAGUUUGACUGGGGCGGUCUCCUCCUAAAGAGUAACGGAGGAGCACGAAGGUUGGCUAAUCCUGGUCGGACAUCAGGAGGUUAGUGCAAUGGCAUAAGCCAGCUUGACUGCGAGCGUGACGGCGCGAGCAGGUGCGAAAGCAGGUCAUAGUGAUCCGGUGGUUCUGAAUGGAAGGGCCAUCGCUCAACGGAUAAAAGGUACUCCGGGGAUAACAGGCUGAUACCGCCCAAGAGUUCAUAUCGACGGCGGUGUUUGGCACCUCGAUGUCGGCUCAUCACAUCCUGGGGCUGAAGUAGGUCCCAAGGGUAUGGCUGUUCGCCAUUUAAAGUGGUACGCGAGCUGGGUUUAGAACGUCGUGAGACAGUUCGGUCCCUAUCUGCCGUGGGCGCUGGAGAACUGAGGGGGGCUGCUCCUAGUACGAGAGGACCGGAGUGGACGCAUCACUGGUGUUCGGGUUGUCAUGCCAAUGGCACUGCCCGGUAGCUAAAUGCGGAAGAGAUAAGUGCUGAAAGCAUCUAAGCACGAAACUUGCCCCGAGAUGAGUUCUCCCUGAGACUUAGAGUCUCCUGAAGGAACGUUGAAGACGACGACGUUGAUAGGCCGGGUGUGUAAGCGCAGCGAUGCGUUGAGCUAACCGGUACUAAUGAACCGUGAGGCUUAACCUU
rnacentral:rRNA from 1 species